UACUCUUGACAUCCAGCGAAUCCUUUAGAGAUAGAGGAGUGCCUUCGGGAACGCUGAGACAGGUGCUGCAUGGCU
rnacentral:rRNA from 1 species